UCCUCAAACCUGAUGUUCGCCUUUCU
rnacentral:piRNA from 1 species